rnacentral:tRNA from 1 species
GGUCGGAUAGCUCAACAGGAUAGAGCAACAGCCUUCUAAGCUGUAGGUUCUGGGUUCGAGUCCCAGUCCGAUCA